rnacentral:rRNA from 1 species
UACGUAGGUGGCGAGCGUUAUCCGGAUUUACUGGGUGUAAAGGGCGUGUAGGCGGUACAAUAAGUCAGAUGUGAAAUCCCUGGGCUUAACCCAGGAAGUGCAUUUGAAACUGUUCAGCUUGAGUAAGGAAGAGGGAAGUGGAAUUCCUGGUGUAGAGGUGAAAUGCGUAGAUAUUAGGAGGAAUACCAGUGGCGAAGGCGACUUUCUGGACUUAUACUGACGCUGAGGAACGAAAGCGUGGGGAGGCAAACAGGAUUAGAUACCCCGGUAGGUCCCUGAG